rnacentral:rRNA from 1 species
GACGAACGCUGGCGGCGUGCUUAACACAUGCAAGUCGAACGGAAAGGCCCUGCUUUUGUGGGGUGCUCGAGUGGCGAACGGGUGAGUAACACGUGAGUAACCUGCCCUUGACUUUGGGAUAACUUCAGGAAACUGGGGCUAAUACCGGAUAGGAGCUCCUGCUGCAUGGUGGGGGUUGGAAAGUUUCGGCGGUUGGGGAUGGACUCGCGGCUUAUCAGCUUGUUGGUGGGGUAGUGGCUUACCAAGGCUUUGACGGGUAGCCGGCCUGAGAGGGUGACCGGCCACAUUGGGACUGAGAUACGGCCCAGACGCCUACGGGAGGCAGCAGUGGGGAAUAUUGCACAAUGGGCGGAAGCCUGAGGCAGCAACGCCGCGUGCGGGAUGACGGCCUUCGGGUUGUAAACCGCUUUCGCCUGUGACGAAGCGUGAGUGACGGUAAUGGGGAAAGAAGCACCGGCUAACUACGU